AUUGACCGCUGGCGGCAGGCCUAACACAUGCAAGUCGAGCGAGCGGCGGCCGGGUGAGUCAUGUCUGGGAAACUGCCUGAUGGAGGGGGAUAACUCCUGGAAACGGUAGCUAAUACCGCAUACCAUCAGAUGUGCCCAGAUGGGAUUAGCUAGUAGGUGGGGUAACGGCUCACCUAGGCGACGAUCCCUAGCUGGUCUGAGAGGAUGACCAGCCACACUGGAACUGAGGCACGGUCCAGACCCCUCCGGGAGGGAGCAGUGGGGAAUAUUGCACAAUGGGCGCAAGCCUUAUGCAGCCAUGCCGCGUGUAGGAAGAAGGCCUUCGGGUUGUAAAGUACUUUCAGCGGGGAGGCGGUACCCGCAGAAGAAGCACCGGCUAACUCCGUGCCAGCAGCCGCGGUAAUAC
rnacentral:rRNA from 1 species